rnacentral:rRNA from 1 species
UACGUAGGUGGCAAGCGUUGUCCGGAAUUAUUGGGCGUAAAGCGCGCGCAGGCGGUCCUUUAAGUCUGAUGUGAAAGCCCACGGCUCAACCGUGGAGGGUCAUUGGAAACUGGGGGACUUGAGUGCAGGAGAGAAGAGUGGAAUUCCACGUGUAGCGGUGAAAUGCGUAGAGAUGUGGAGGAACACCAGUGGCGAAGGCGACUCUCUGGUCUGUAACUGACGCUGAGGCGCGAAAGCGUGGGGAGCAGACAGG